rnacentral:rRNA from 1 species
CCCUUAGAUGUCCGGGGCUGCACGCGCGCUACACUGUAGAAAGCAGCGUGCUUUAGAACCUUUCCUGAAAAGGAUGGGUAACCCCAGCAAAAUUCUACGUGCUUGGGAUAGAGAUUUGCAAUUUUCUCUCUUGAACGAGGAAUUCCCAGUAAGUGCGAGUCAUCAGCUCGCGUUGAUUACGUCCCUGCCCUUUGUACACACCGCCCGUCGCUACUACCGAUUGGGAAAAUUUUAGAGAGUCCUGGACUGAUGAUUGUUCGGCUUCACGGCCUUACUUUCGUCGGGAAAGAAUUCGAUAAUAUUUUUCUAGAGGAAGUAAAAGUCGUAACA